rnacentral:rRNA from 1 species
GUGGGGAAUCUUCCACAAUGGACGAAAGUCUGAUGGAGCAACGCCGCGUGAGUGAAGAAGGGUUUCGGCUCGUAAAGCUCUGUUGUCGGGGACGAAUGUGCAGUAUUUGAAUAAAGUACUGCAAUGACGGUACCUGACGAGGAAGCCACGGCUAACUACGUGCCAGCAGCCGCGGUAAUACGUAGGUGGCAAGCGUUGUCCGGAAUUAUUGGGCGUAAUGGGAGCGCAGGCGGGAAGGUAAGUCGGUCUUAAAAGUGCGGGGCUCAACCCCGUGAUGGGAUCGAAACUAUCUUUCUUGAGUGCAGGAGAGGAAAGUGGAAUUCCUAGUGUAGCGGUGAAAUGCGUAGAUAUUAGGAGGAACACCAGUGGCGAAGGCGACUUUCUGGACUGUAACUGACGCUGAGGCUCGAAAGCCAGGGGAGCGAACGGGAUUAGAAACCCUAGUAGUCC